rnacentral:rRNA from 1 species
CCUACGGGAGGCUGCAGUGAGGAAUAUUGGUCAAUGGGCGCGAGCCUGAACCAGCCAAGUAGCGUGAAGGAUGACUGCCCUACGGGUUGUAAACUUCUUUUAUAAAGGAAUAAAGUGAGGCACGUGUGCCUUUUUGUAUUUACUUUAUGAAUAAGGAACGGCUAACCUCGUGCCAGCCGCCGCGGUAAUACGGAGGAUCCGAGCGUUAUCCGGAUUUAUUUGGUUUAAAGGGAGCGUAGAUGGGUUGUUAAGUCGGUUGUGAAAGUAUGGGGCUCAACCGUAAAAUUGCAAUUGAUACUGGCAGCCUUGAGUACAGUUGAGGUAGGCAGAAUUCGUGGUGUAGCGGUGAAAUGCUUAGAUAUCACGAAGAACUCCGAUUGCGAAGGCAGCUUACUAAAC